UCGUGCUCAACUCAAUUAGUCCUGUGACUCCUCACUAGGACUACCCUGGCCAAGGUUUUGCUAAAUUGAAACAUGACUGUACACAGCUCCUGAACUGGAGUGGUCAAUCCCAUCUUGACACACGCACCGACAAGUCAAGUACUUGACUACACCCAGCAUCCUUCCGUCAUUGAAUUAGAAAUUCAGGUAGUCCAGUGCCUAAGUGCAGUGAGUUGCUUGCAAGUCACCGUGGCGGUCUCAGGUCGGAGGGACAUUUAUACUCAUAUCCCAUCAGAGCAAAUUUUGACAGCAG
rnacentral:lncRNA from 1 species